CCACUGGCGCCCUGAGCCUCGGAGCGGUGCCGGAGGUGGGACACUCCGGUGCUGGAGGCGGGCGGCUGGACAGGGGACAACGACGCAGAUGCAGACAGAAGGAUGCAGGGAGGCGCGGGCCAGGCCUCAGUGAGGAGGGAGGGAAGGCAGGAAGAGGGGAGGAGGGGGGCUGGUGUGGGCCCGGCCCAGGCAUCCCUGGGGAGCAGGGCACCGGACCAAGGCCCAGCGGCCCUUUCCCUGCGAUGGCAGUGGCGGGCCUGGGCACCUUCCUGCCGGCCUCACCAAGCCCACACAAACAAAGUGGCAGAACUCAAGACCAAGUAGGAGCUAUUUAUUCGGUUCACAGUCGUGUGAAAUGCAGCAAUAAAAAUCUUUGGACUUCAGCAAGUUGUUUUAAUUUUUUCUUUAAAAAAAAAAAAAGUGUCCGAUGUCCCAUAAUGGAACUUAGGGGAUUAAAAAAGAUGAAACCCUAAGUAGCCCCCUUUGCAAAAACAAACAAACAAACAAAAACAACAUAAAAUUAGCAUAAUCUCAUAAACAUAAAAACUCAAAAAAUACUUUAUAGUCAGACAUUUUGGAUUUUACACCUCCUGUAAAUUAUAUAUACAUAGAAUAUUGCAGAACCGUAGCUAAUAUGCGAUAUCUUCACUAUUAAUGCUGGUAUAAUGUUUAUACACUGGCCCUUGAUUUCUGAUUUUAAAUUAUUGCAUCGUUUAGCCGGGGCGGGCCGGGACGGGGCACCUGCCCGCCCUACUCGCUGUCGGACUUGCCCUCCUUGGCGGUGGUGGAGUGGUUGUACAGGCCCUGCGCCAUGAGGUGCACGGCCAGCGUGUUCUUGCUGCCCGUGGCCUUCUUGAUCUUGGCGCGCUUGUUCUGGAACCAGAUCUUGAUCUGCGACUCGUUGAGGCUGAGCUCCUGCGCCAAGCUCUGGCGCCGCUGCUCCGUCAGGUACCUGUUGGUCUGGAACUCGGCCUUGAGCCGCUGCAGCUGCUCUGCCGUGAAGGCCGUGCGGGGCCGCUUGUCUUCUUUGUUGGGGUUCUUCUUCUUUGGUUUGCGAGACCUGGGACCUGGGGAGGCGCGGUGGACACAGAGAGCACAGGUUAGGAGGGCUCCGGGCGGGGGCGGGGAGGUCUGCAGAGGGCGGUGGGCUUGGGGGUCAAGGGCAGGCUUAACGGAAAAGUCAGGACAGCAAAAAACCCAAAACUCUUGUGGCCAGGCCUUUUCAAGUCUCUCCUGGAGUUCUGUCCUUGAAUGGGGACAGGAUGGGGUGGCUGCGGGGAGAGAGAGGAGGGGGACAUACUGGAGGGGGGUGGGGCAGGCAGAAGGAUGCAGGAUGUGCCCCGCAGGUGCAGGGGGUCGCCCCACAGGUCCGGGGCCAUGGGAUCCAGCCCAAGGUGGGUGCUGAGGACAGGAGGGCUCUGCCUCCCCAAGCCGGCCCUGUGGGCCCACGUCAGUCCUUUCCUUUAAGGGGAAGGAGCAGAAGCUUCCCGCCCUUCACCCCACCAGGUCUCCCCCCCCCGCCCAGGAGGGGGGACCCGCUGCUGCCAGCCCAGGAGCUGCGGAGGCCACGGGGGACCCCGCUGACCUUGGGCAGAAGGUUCACACUCCUCACUGCCACAAUCUUCCCGGUGGGCCACCCCACAGUACGUGAGGUUGGUGCGGGUCGGUGGCGCUGGGGAUCCUAGGGCCCGGGCAACGGAAAGGGCCUGAGAAAGGUGAUCAAGUGUUGCCUUUUUCUGGGUUUCCGAAGGUCAGAUGGGGUAAGGGGGUCAGAGAGGGAAGAGGCCUUUGCAGGAGGGGGUGGUGGCUGCAGGUCUGGGGGUCUUAAUCUGUGAAGUGUGUGAAGUCACGCUGGGGGCUGGCUCCCGCUUCUUCCGAGGAGCCCUGGCUGAGAGGCUGGAGUAGGAAAGAGCAGCCCAAGGCGGUCCCCGCCCCUCGCCCUGCCUGACUGAAGGCGGGAUGAGGCCCGGAGGGGCACUCUGACCAGGAGGGUGGAUCAUCACCCAGGCCUUCCCCAGCAAGGGAUCUGGGGCCGUUCGCAGACCCAGGAGGCCCGCGGAAGCCCCUCCUCAGCCCACCAAGCCUUGCGCUGUCUCCAGGAGCCACGAUGGGAAAAGGAGGGCAGAGCCCGGUGGAGAGGGGGCACCGGUCUGUUCGGCUCAAACCCCGGGCCUUCAAGAUUGGAAGCACACCCAGGAACACAUCCACCCGGGCACACUGCGCCACCCGCCCCCACCGCGCCCACAACUCGCUCACACGCCGAGGUGGCCGGCUCCUCGCCUGCUGCAGCCUGGCUUUUUCCCGGAGGGUGCGGAUUCGGGGCGGCUGCCCGCGGCGUCCCGGGGGCGCCGCGCAAGGCGGGCAGAGGGCGGCCCUUGCGAGGCCUCUACAGGCCCGGCGGAGGCCCCCACCGCGGCCUCGCGCGGCGCAGCCCGCCCGCCCGCUGUUCCCACCCGCAAACUCCCCGGUCCCAGGGCGCUCGCACACGCCAAUCAGCCCACAAAAGGCCAGGGCCACUUUAUAAAAAGGAAAUCUCCCUAAAAUCAGAGAUUUUAGUUCCUUUUCCUUCUUGAUUUUCGUUCAAAACGCACUUACAGAGUCUCGGAGAGACCAUACCUCCGCAACAAAACAAAACAAAACUGCGUCGUUGCUUUCGGAAACGCCCGGAAACACACAUCUUAUCUUACGGGGCUUUUUUUUUUUUUUUUUCUGUUUAAUACUUUGCUGUUUCCCCAGUGUCUCAGUGGUAAAGAAUCCGCCCCCCCGGCCUCUGGGUCCUGGCGCGGCCGCGACUCCCGCGCCGCACAAAGCCGGGCCUCGGCUCCUAGCCGGCCGCAUUGUGAGCCUAUAUGUUAAUUAAAUAUUAACAAAGGAGAGAGGCGAGAACAAUGGAGCAAAUUUCAGAUCUAGCUGGAGAAAUUGGGGUUUCAUCAGAGAUACACACAGACCGUUUCUGCGGGCUGGCGACCAAGGGGUGGCUUAGUUGCGCUGUGAACUGUGUAAAAGACUCCCGCAAAACAGUUGAGGGUUCAGGGGAACAAGGGGGUCCGGUCUGCGCGGCCGGCUCGGGGACAAACGGAGUCUGCGCUUAAUGGCGGUUCGCAGCCGCAGACCCUCAUUCACUGCGGCUCACGCUUCUAUGGGGACGUGGACUCAGCUUUUAAAAAUCCCGGGUCUAUGAAAAAGACGCCCAGAAGCUCUGCACACCCUCACCAGCUCCCCCGCGCACUUCCUCCGAAAUCUGCUUCUUUCCUACCCAGGAAAGCUCGGUAAAGGUCGUCUAUCUGGGGACAGCAGGCCUUCCUCCUCCAAGCUGUGUGCGCACCUCUUGGCAAAUAAAACGAGGCACAGGGCGAAGGGCUCCUCUGUCUGCCUUCCUUCCCUCUGCGGAUUCCUCCACCGGCCCCUGCUCAACCUCGGCUGGGGCCGACCAGCCGAGCCUCGCUUUCUUCCCCGGACACCUCUGGGAAACUGGGGCGGCAGGAUGAGUCUAGGUAUGGGGCGGGCUGGGCGUGGGUCCGGAUCUGGACCGAAUCGGAAGAACAAGCGAGGGUGUGCGCUUCAGGGCCUGUUUUCCAGCCACCCCCGUUCCCACCAAAUAAACUCUGGUCAGGGCAGGGAUGCGCUAGGGGCUAGGAAAGGUCCUCCAAAGCAAGGGAGAACGGAAGUCCUGGUACUUCUCGCCGUCCUAGGAAAUCUGUAGCCCCGAGUGAAUCAACCCUGCCCCUCUCUCUGCCUGGCCGUGGCCCGGGUCAGCCCCCAAUGUCGCUCUGUGCGCGUCUUUGUGUUGGGGGCAAGGCAUGCUCGUGUCUUCUUCCUCCCGGUGGCUCACCUGAAGAAGGUCGGUCCGAGUAGCGCGUGCAGUACACCCACGCCGGCCAGAGCAUGGGCUGCGCGCCCACGGUGGCGCUGGCCUGC
rnacentral:lncRNA from 1 species